rnacentral:rRNA from 1 species
ACCAGCAGUCAUAUCAGGCAAAUCACAAAUGGCAACCCACUGAAGCUCAGCAGGUGUCAGCCUGGUCAGUACCUGGAUGGGAGACCUCCUGGGAAAAACUAAGGUUGCUGCUGGAA